GUUCUUUUUUUUUUUUUUUUCCAACUAGUUUAUCGUUGUUCUCUAUGUCUUGCGCUGUUGUUUUUAGUUGAACUUAUAGUAUAAAUUUGUUUGUUGUUUUACUUUGCAAAUUUCAUUGCAGAGAGCUACUUCUUUUGGUUCCUCAUUUGCCCUUAAAAACAUAGCUAAAGAAUUUUUUGUGAACAAAAUGGUUAACCCAAGAGCAAGCGUGUGAACAAAAUGGUUAACCUAAGCGCAAGCGGAGAUGGAGAAGGCAAAGGCAACGGUGACAAGGGUAAGAGGAAGAUGGUGUCUUCAACAGACACUUGCAAGGAUGAUACACCACUUGUGUUGAGUCAACAUGAAUUGUUGGAAGAAUCACUCCCAAAAACAAGGGCUGAGAUGGAGUCUAAAGCAACAGAGACCUGCAGCUCUUCAGCUGCUCCGGGAAGUGAUGAUAACAUUAUCUAUGAUGCUCAACCUCUGAGGAGCAUGGCCCCUAGAAUGAGAAAGAUGUGGUGAUAAUGAACCUUAAUCUGCACAUGCAGCGGCUGGAGAGAGUUGCAAGGAUGAGUGAUAUGGAAGCCAAGUGAUCAUUUCCAUUAUGCCUUUUUAAACAAAAAUAAAAAUAAAAAUAUUUAGAUGAAAAGGUUAAACAAAUCAUUCAUGUUGAAAUUCCAGAAUCAUGAGAAAAGUGGUUGAAAA